AGCCAUACAGUCCGAAUGACAAUUAAACUCGGUAAAUAUGAGACUUUUCCUCACUUGGUCCCCGUACUAUAAUGGGCAUUAUAUUAUUAAACUUUGCUUUAUAUAUAUACUGAGUGCCAAUGAAAACGCAACACUUUUGUUUUUCAAAAAUCUAUAAUUUAUUUUAUUAUAUUAGACUUUGUAUAAUUGUUGAAAUGCUUUUAAGACAAUUGUCGACAACGGUUGAGGAUUUUUGGAACAAAUGCGAAGUAAGAGUUAUUUUGAACGACAUAAAUCGAGUUCACCGCUUUUCAACAUGCAUUUUCACGAUUUUCAUUUAAACUUGGCUAAUGUCAUAAAUUUUCACGCCCUUAUUGUUAAGAAACUGCAAUUAACAUCUGAGUAAAUGCCAGGACUUUCUGACAUUCAGCGACAUGCAGUUUUGGGCAUGAUCCAAUGAAGCAUUUCACAGCAUACAAUAACGAAAAGACUGAAGUUGUAGCUUCUACAAUAGCCCAAAUCAUUCAUAAAUUCAACCAAAAUGGAUCAUUUAAUGAUAAGCCACAUCCCGGGGUACAAAAAGAAAGAAACGCUCAGCAAGACCGUUACACUUGGUCUUUAACAUAUCCGAUAUCGACUCUGAUCCAAAGGUCACGAGUGUUCAAUGGUGGCCAUGAUAGAACCUUUGGAUCAAUUUCAGAAAAUCACCAUUUGCGCAGAAAUUGUUAAAAAGCACCAGUCUUUCCUUAGUGACAUCUAAACGGCCGUCUGGCGUAAACAUCGAUUCUGUAGACCAAAAUUCAUCAUUAUGUACCAAAAACCGUCAGUGAUGGGUUACAAGACAUUUGACCCGCCUUGGCCCAAAAGUCAUGCUUUUAGCCGGAUUUUGGUCCGAUCGAGCAAAUUUUGCACCAGAUUUGACAUGGUUUAGACGAUGAAAACAAACACCAAUAUCAUAAAGUCAGCUUGACUGUGCUUUUGCGGGACAUGUGGAAUAACAUUCCUUGGGAUCACAUUAAACGUCGGGGAUAAUCAAUUCCACGGCGCUGUCGAGAUUGCGCUGCACCACGGGGUUGUAACAUUUUUUGUUAGGACUGUGAGUUGAUGAUUCGACAUUGGAUGUUUCGUUUACCUAUUGCGCCAGAAAGAUGACAAUGAAACAUUUUUGUUUGAUAUCGAUCUAUUGUUAAGAUUGUUAAUUUUCAAGAACUAUAAUUUAUUUUAAAAGAUUAUCAUUUCUAAUAUAAAUUUUAUUUAUGAAAAAGCAAAUGUUGCGGUUUCAUUGGCGCUCAGUAUAUAUCCCAGUAUAUAUUAUAGUACGUCAAACGCUUUUUUCAUAACAAACAAAUGAGAGAGAGAGAGAGAGAGAGAGAGAGAGAGAGAGAGAGAGAGAGAGAGAGAGAGGCGGAGGAUACCAUAGAGACAUGCAACUCUUACAGAAAAAGAAUUAUGUCGUUAUCUUUUAAGUCACAAUAACUGUUCAAUAUUGUAUGCAUAAUAUAUUAGCGGGAUCUUGCAAAACAAAAAUUAGACUAAAGACACAAAUAUGGGGAGCAAGAAGAAAAAAUAACAAUCAGAUCAAAAUCAAUAGAUUUUCCAGAGAAAACUGACAAAUAGAUCUAAUAAUAUAAGAACAAAUACAUUAGGUUAUUCCACAGAACAGUCAAAAAGUAUUGAAAUAACAAAAAUACCACACUCCAAGGAAAAUUCUAAACGAAAAGUCCUAAAGCAAACGCCAAAAUCAAAACCUCACACAUCAAAAUGGAUAACAACUGUCACAUUACUGAUUUGGUAAAUGCAUUUUCUUAAGUAGAAAUUGGUUGAUUCAGUCAGGUUUUAUUGCUAGCUUAACCUGUCACUUGCAUGAGAGUUGCUAACAGUACUAUUAUAUUGACAACGAUGUGUAAAAAAUUCCAAACAGACAUAAGGAAUUAUUAAAGCUAGCUGAAACUCUCUCUUGUAUAAAAGCGAUACUGAAAUUAAUGCAAUACAAUCUGUUAACAGAUAUAAAGAUAUAAUACAUUGUACAUUGUUGUACAAUAUUAACCAAUGAUUUGAAUUCAAUUUUUAAAAAUGUGAUUUUUUUCAACAGUCAGUCGCAUCAAUUAAUUCGUGUGAAAUUUUAAAAUAAUUUAUCCCCUGUAUUUUAGAUGGCUUCCUCAGAUGUUGUACUGUGUGGUAUCUGUGAUGUUCAGCAUGUUUCACACGUUGCUGAUUACUGGUGUCCUGAAUGUGAUGAAGGUCUGUGUUCGACAUGUAAAAAAUACCACAGCGUAUCAAAGGCUUCCAGACAGCAUGGGAUCAUUUCUAUUGACGACUACAAGAAACUUCCGGCUGAGAUUUGUAAAAUUGAACAGAAUUGUAGAGAGCAUAACCGGAAAUUCCAAAUGUUUUGCCCACGUCAUGACAAACUUUGUUGUCUAAUUUGCAUAUCCGAAAACCACAAAGAAUGCACCGGAAUGUUCCCUAUUGACGAAGCCAUCAAGUCUUCGAGAUCUUCCACUCCACUUUGUUUGACAGUUUGGAAAAGUCACUAAAAGAAAUUCAGGAAAACAUUGAAAGAGUAGUAAAAGAUCGGGAAGC
rnacentral:lncRNA from 1 species